GACGAACGCUGGCGGCGUGCUUAACACAUGCAAGUCGAACGGACAGGCCCUGCUCUUGCGGGGUGCUCGAGUGGCGAACGGGUGAGAAACACGCGAGUAACCUGUCCUUGACUUUGGGGGAACUUCAGGAAACUGGGGCUAAUACCGGAUAGGAUCUCCUGCUGCACGGUGGGCGAUGGAAAGUGUCGGCUGUUGUGGAUGGACUCGCGGUUUAUCAGCUUGUUGGUGGGGUAGUGGCAUACCAAGGCUUUGACGGGUAGCCGGCCUGAGAGGGUGACCGGCCACCAGAGGACUGCGAGACGGACCAGAAUGCUACGGGAGGCAGCAGUCGGGAAUAUUACACAGUGGGCGGACGUCUGAGGCAGCAACGCCGCGUGCGGGAUGCCGGCCUUCGGGUUAUAAACAGAUGUCGCCUGUAGCGAAGCGUGAGUGACGGUAAUGGGUCAAGAAGCAACGGCUAACUACGUG
rnacentral:rRNA from 1 species